UCCCAGACUCCUACGGGAGGCAGCAGUCGGGAAUAUUGCGCAAUGGAGGAAACUCUGACGCAGUGACGCCGCGUAUAGGAAGAAGGUUUUCGGAUUGUAAACUAUUGUCAUUAGGGAAGAAAAAAGGCAGUACCUAAGGAGGAAGCUCCGGCUAACUACGUGCCAGCAGCCGCGGUAAUACGUAGGGAGCGAGCGUUAUCCGGAUUUAUUGGGUUUAAAGGGUGCGCAGGCGGCACGGCAAGCCGGCGGUCAAAUCGCGGGGCUCAACCCCGCCCAGCCGUCGGAACUGCCGGGCUAGAGUGGGCGAGAAGUGCGCGGAAUGCGUGGUGUAGCGGUGAAAUGCAUAGAUAUCACGCAGAACUCCGAUUGCGAAGGCAGCGCACCGGCGCCCUACUGACGCUCAGGCACGAAAGCGUGGGUAUCGAACAGGAUUAGAUACCCGGGUA
rnacentral:rRNA from 1 species